rnacentral:lncRNA from 1 species
AGCAAGGCUAGAACAAACAGGUUUAAACAAGGUCUCAAUGGAUUGAUCCAAGAUGCUUGGGCUGAAGCUAACAAAAAAAAAUUCAAAGAGGAGGCCAACGAGCAUGAGACAUAAAUUUGGGUCAAUUUAAUAUAAGUCCAAUUCUAAUCAUCUUAGCAAAGCCAACAUAUUUUGCAUACAAAAGAGUAUUAUGUUAUUUUGCAAAGUGGGCCUUCUAAAAUAAAUAUCCAGC